CCUCAGCAUUAGAUCCUUUUAAAGUCACCGUAAAGGAAAUUAUUGAUGUUUCAUUUAUAGGGUGCAUUUUAGGGCACAUGAUUAUGCAGUCAAAGUCGUUGUCGAUAGCGCUAAUAUACUUUUUCGUUAUAUUGUGAACUUUGUUCAAAGCUUGAUCUUAGUUUGAUUCCCUGCUGUUGAAACCAACAUUUUUUGACCAUACGUUUAUCGUCAACCUUUCAACUCUAUGUUUACUAACUUUAAGAUGACGAGGCGAAUCAUAUUGAUUGUGUGCGUGCGCGUGUUCUAGCCAACACUUUUUUCACGAGGGCCGUCAGUGUGAUAGUUAAACUUUGCGCCACGUGCUGGCAGUACCAAGUAAUUACGAACUGCACUGCAAAAAAAUCACGAUUUGGUAUUGCUACAUGUAGCUAGUCAACAAAUAGUUUAUCUGGGCAAGAGCAUGCUUUAUUCGUUAGACAUACUCAGCUCAUGCAAACAGGUGUUUGUGUGGUAAGCCACUUCUGUGGCUUUUGGUCCAAAGAUCUUCAAUUUUGAAGCCAUGGAUUGUUUGAAACGACCGAAGCCAGACGUAAUUACACGAACAGCGUUUGAAAUAGGCAGCGCAAAUUCUUCCCAGCAAGAACAAUGUGCAUGCAGAGAAAAAUAACAGUUAGGAGAAGUGUGGCAUGCAGACGACGAAAGGAAGUAAUUAUUUCUGAAACACAGUCAUGGGAGAGAAGGGAAAGGUGCCUGGAUUAAGGGCCCUAAUUCAAACUGAUUAAUUUCAGCAUUAGUGCCUCAGUCUGAAAUAAUAAAGGACUCCCUGCUAUAAAGAACCUGA